AGUGAACGUUGGCGGCGUGGAUUAGGCAUGCAAGUCGAGCGAGAACCGUAGCAAUACGGGGACAGCGGCGAAAGGGACAGUAAUGUGUAGGUACCUACCCCGAGGUCUGGGAUAGCUGCGGGAAACUGCAGGUAAUACCGGAUAAUGUCUUCGGACCAAAGGUGUGAUUCCACCUUGGGAGGGGCCUGCAUCCUAUUAGCUUGUUGGCGGGGUAACGGCCCACCAAGGCGACGAUGGGUAGCGGGUGUGAGAGCACGACCCGCGUCAUUGGGACUGAGACACGGCCCAGACACCUACGGGUGGCUGCAGUCGAGGAUCUUCGGCAAUGGGCGCAAGCCGGACCGAGCGACGCCGCGUGCGGGAUGAAGGCCUUCGGGUUGUAAACCGCUGUCGUAGAGGAGGAAAUGCAGGGGGGUUCUCCCUUCUGUUUGACCUAUUCUAGGAGGAAGGACGGGCUAAGUUCGUGCCAGCCGCCGCCGUAA
rnacentral:rRNA from 1 species